UGCAGUCGAGCGAGAAAUUAGACUUCGGUUUAAUGGAAAGCGGCGAACGGGUGAGUAACGCGUGGGAAUUUACCUAGGAGUGGGGAAUAACUAUUGGAAACGAUAGCUAAUACCGCAUACGCCCUAAGGGGGAAAGGCUUCGGCCGCUCUAUGAGAAGCCCGCGUCCGAUUAGUUUGUUGGUGAGGUAAUGGCUCACCAAGACUACGAUCGGUAGCUGGUCUGAGAGGACGAUCAGCCACACUGGGACUGAGACACGGCCCAGACUCCUACGGGAGGCAGCAGUGGGGAAUAUUGGACAAUGGGCGAAAGCCUGAUCCAGCUAUGCCGCGUGAGUGAAGAAGGCCUUAGGGUUGUAAAGCUCUUUCGGCAGGGAAGAUAAUGACGGUACCUGCAAAAGAAGCCCCGGCUAACUCCGUGCCAGCAGCCGCGGUAAUACGGAGGGGGCUAGCGUUGCUCGGAAUUACUGGGCGUAAAGCGAGCGUAGGCGGUUAACCAAGUUGGGGGUGAAAGCCCGGAGCUCAACUCCGGAAAUGCCCUCAAAACUAGUUGACUCGAGGCCGGGAGAGGAGAGUGGAAUUCCCAGUGUAGAGGUGAAAUUCGUAGAUAUUGGGAAGAACACCAGUGGCGAAGGCGGCUCUCUGGACCGGUUCUGACGCUGAGGCUCGAAAGCGUGGGUAGCAAACAGGAUUAGAUACCCUGGUAGUCCACGCCGUAAACGAUGAGUGCUA
rnacentral:rRNA from 1 species